AUACUUACCUGGUACGGGAGGCACCCUGAUCCGCUAGGGUGGUCCUCCCAGGGGCGAGGCCUAACCAUUGCACCUCGGAUGGGCUGACCCCUGCGAUCGCCCCAAAUUUGGGCGACUCGAGUACGAAAUUUUUUAGUGUGGGGGUUCUGCGUUCGCGGUCUAACCCCCG
rnacentral:snRNA from 1 species